GAUGAACGCUGGCGGCGUGCUUAACACAUGCAAGUCGAACGAAGCAUUUGCGACAGAUUUUUUCGGAAUGAAGUUGCUUAUGACUGAGUGGCGGACGGGUGAGUAACGCGUGGGUAACCUGCCUUGUACUGGGGGAUAGCAACUGGAAACGGCUGGUAAUACCGCAUAAGCGCACAAUGUUGCAUGACAUGGUGUGAAAAACUCCGGUGGUAUAAGAUGGACCCGCGUCUGAUUAGCUAGUUGGUGAGAUAACAGCCCACCAAGGCGACGAUCAGUAGCCGACCUGAGAGGGUGACCGGCCACAUUGGGACUGAGACACGGCCCAGACUCCUACGGGAGGCAGCAGUGGGGAAUAUUGCACAAUGGAGGAAACUCUGAUGCAGCGACGCCGCGUGAGUGAAGAAGUAAUUCGUUAUGUAAAGCUCUAUCAGCAGGGAAGAUAGUGACGGUACCUGACUAAGAAGCUCCGGCUAAAUACGUG
rnacentral:rRNA from 1 species